ACAAACAGACUCAUUCUUGUGAGUUUGUUUGUUUCACAGUCACAGAGACGUGUGUCUCUACAGUCAGAGGUUUUUGUACGACGCCUCACAGACUUUGUAUCACUGUGGUACACGUUUGGUGGAGGAACCAGACUGGAAGUUGGAAGUGACGUCGGUCCCACCCUGACGGUGCUGCCGCCCUCACGUGAGGAGCUGGACCAGGGGAAGGCCACGCUCAUGUGUCUGGCCAACAAGGGCUUCCCCUCAGCCUGGACUCUGUCCUGGAAGUUGGACGGCAGCAGCAGCAGCAGCAGCAGCUGGGAGCAGAGCAUGAGCCGUGGGCUGCUGGAGAAGGACGGUCUCUACAGCUGGAGCAGCAUCCUGAGGCUUUCUGCUGACCAGUGGAGGAAGGUGGGCUCUGUGACCUGUGAGGCCACCCAGGGCUCCCAGAUUCUCUCAGAGACACUGAGGACAGACCAGUGUUCCUAGUCCUGACCUGACUCACUGACACUCUGCUACUGGUUUUACUCUGCAUUUCUGUCUCUUUUCUCACAAUUUAAAGUUUGAAAACUUCUCGCUCAUGUUGAUCCUGACUCUUUCAACUUUUUCCACAUAAUAAAGUUGUUUGUGUUUCAUUAAAAAA